GGACCCUUAGCUCAAUGGCAGAGCUCCCGGCUCAUAACCGGUUGGUUGUAGGUUCGAGUCCUACAGGGUCCACCA
rnacentral:tRNA from 2 species